AUAACAGUAUACCAGUGGAAGGGAGGACAGUAGCAGGUAACCCUAUGAGCUGAACAUAACAGUAUGCCAGUGGAAGGGAGGACAGUAGCAGGUAACCCUAUGAGCUGAACAUAACAGUAUGCCAGUGGAAGGGAGGACAGUAGCAGGUAACCCUAUGAACAUAACAGUAUGCCAGUGGAAGGGAGGACAGUAGCGGGUAACCCUAUGAGCUGAACAUAACAGUAUGCCAGUGGAAGGGAGGACAGUAGCAGGUAACCCUAUGAGCUGAACAUAACAGUAUGCCAGUGGAAGGGAGGACAGUAGCAGGUAACCCUAUGAGCUGAACAUAACAGUAUGCCAGUGGAAGGGAGGACAGUAGCAGGUAACCCUAUGAACAUGACAGUAUGCCAGUGGAAGGGAGGACAGUAGCAGGUAACCCUAUGAGCUGAACAUAACAGUAUACCAGUGGAAGGGAGGACAGUAGCAGGUAACCCUAUGAGCUGAACAUAACAGUAUGCCAGUGGAAGGGAGGACAGUAGCGGGUAACCCUAUGAGCUGAACAUAACAGUAUGCCAGUGGAAGGGAGGACAGUAGCAGGUAACCCUAUGAGCUGAACAUAACAGUAUGCCAGUGGAAGGGAGGACAGUAGCAGGUAACCCAACAGUGGUUUGUGACUAUUAUGAUUUCCCACUGUAGCAAAUUGAAUUGCAGUAAUUCCGUUACUGAUUUUAAACAAAUUCUGUUACCAAUUUGGUAACAGAAUUUAGAGUUUUAAACACUUAAUAAUUCAUAAACCAAAUAGAUAUCAGUAAAAACACUAUGACUUAUUGGUAGGUCUAUCUUAUUAGACACUAUGACUUAUUGGUAGGUCUACCUUAUUAGACACUAUGACUUAUUGGUAGGUCUACCUUAUUUAACACUAUGACUUAUUGGUAGGUCUACCUUAUUAGACACUAUGACUUAUUGGUAGGUCUACCUUAUUUAACACUAUGACUUAUUGGUAGGUCUACCUUAUUUAACACUAUGACUUAUUGGUAGGUCUACCUUAUUAGACACUAUGACUUAUUGGUAGGUCUACCUUAUUAGACACUAUGACUUAUUGGUAGGCCUACCUUAUUUAACACUAUGACUUAUUGGUAGGUCUACCUUAUUAGACACUAUGACUUAUUGGUAGGUCUACCUUAUUAGACACUAUGACUUAUUGGUAGGUCUACCUUAUUAGACACUAUGACUUAUUGGUAGGUCUACCUUAUUUAACAC
rnacentral:lncRNA from 1 species